rnacentral:rRNA from 1 species
CAACACGGAAAGCUCACCCGGCCCGGACACGGACAGGAUUGACAGAUUGAGAGCUCUUUCUCGAUUCCGUGGGUGGUGGUGCAUGGCCGUUCUUAGUUGGUGGAGCGAUUUGUCUGGUUAAUUCCGAUAACGAACGAGACUCUGGCAUGCUAACUAGUUACGCGACCCCCGAGCGGUCGGCGUGCAACUUCUUAGAGGGACAAGUGGCGUUCAGCCACCCGAGAUUGAGCAAUAACAGGU